UAUUUAAAACACCGCUCUCAGUCUCUCAAAUAUUUUUUUUCAGUUGUAUAGUUGAGUUUCAGUGAAGACAUCCUUGCUUGAAAACGUGACAGAAUUUAAUAUACUAGACAUUCUUGACCAUUUCAAGACUCUUAAAUGAAUCUACGGGAUACCCGAAACUCUGAGUGAGCUCCUGACCCCAGGCAGUCCAUUGCAAUUGGCACAACCACGACACAUCCGUAGCUACGCCGAAAAAGAACAAAACAUCGCCAAGUCAGAAUACAUCGGCUUUUACGCUGUCAGUACAGAAAACAUUAUAAACUCACGGAAGGACAUUGGAAGAUUUGGUAUCCAGUGAUGCCAUGGUCUGCUGUCGGUAACAGAGUAUGACGUUCAUGCAUGGUGUAUAGGACUGUGAGGUUGUCAGAGGAGAAGCAAGUGACCACGUUUAUUCAGCCUGACCCUUUACCUGUAAAGAAA